rnacentral:rRNA from 1 species
CCUACGGGUGGCAGCAGUGAGGAAUAUUGCACAAUGGCCGAAACGCUGAUGCAGCGACGCCGCGUGAGUGAAGAAGUCUUUAGGGGUGGAAAGCUCUAUCAGCCGGGGAGAAAAGGACGGUACCUGAUGAAGAAGCCCCGGCUAACUACGUGCCAGCAGCCGCGGUAAUACGUGGGGGAGCAGCGUUAACCGGAUUUACUGGGUGGAAGGGGGGCGUAAACGGGAGCACAAGUCCGGAGGGAAAUGCCGGGGGUUAACCCCCGAACUGCUUUGGAAACUGUGGCCCUAGAGUGCAUGAGAGGUAAGUGGAAUGCGUGGUGUAGCGGUGAAAUGCGUAGAUAUCACGCAGAACGCCAGUUGCGAAGGCAGCUUACCGGAGCUCAACUGACGUUGAGGCACGAAAGCGCGGGGAGCGAACAGGAUUAGAUACCCCUGUAGUC